GAUGAACGCUGGCGGCGUGCUUAACACAUGCAAGUCGAACGGUGAAAGAGAGCUUGCUCUCUGGAUCAGUGGCGAACGGGUGAGUAACACGUGAGCAAUCUGCCCCUGACUCUGGGAUAAGCGCUGGAAACGGCGUCUAAUACCGGAUACGAGCUGCGAAGGCAUCUUCAGCAGCUGGAAAGAACUUCGGUCAGGGAUGAGCUCGCGGCCUAUCAGCUAGUUGGUGAGGUAACGGCUCACCAAGGCGUCGACGGGUAGCCGGCCUGAGAGGGUGACCGGCCACACUGGGACUGAGACACGGCCCAGACGCCUACGGGAGGCAGCAGGGGGGAAUAUUGCACAAUGGGCGAAAGCCUGAUGCAGCAACGCCGCGUGAGGGACGACGGCCUUCGGGUUGUAAACCUCUUUUAGCAGGGAAGAAGCGAAAGUGACGGUACCUGCAGAAAAAGCACCGGCUAACUACGU
rnacentral:rRNA from 1 species